CUGAGGAAGAUGCAAGCAGGAGGCGGGAGUGGAGAACGAUUUGAGCAACCUCUGUACCACCGGUCCAGACACACACCACCGCACCGUUGACUUAGCAGCCGCCGCUGACAGAGAAGUGAUAAAGCUCUCGGAGAUAUUCCUGUCUCAUCUGUCUCGGUGAUUGCUUGUCAAGGGACGUGUCUACGAGGAUAUGAGGAAGACAGUGCAGUCAGAGGUUGCACAAGUCACUGCCCCAAACCAGGCUUGGCUUUCUGGGCUGGUGCUCGCCUCUUCCAGCUGAGCGGCUGCCUGUGUUUCCGCGGGGGAGGCAGGAUGGAUCGCCUGGAGAACCCAGGCAUCGCCGCUCCGAGCAUUUGCCUAAUAGGCACCUCAGAAAUGCAUCCUGGGAGCCGUGACUCUUUGUGAGCAGCAGCUGUUUCUCUCCGGUGAAGGGAGCAGAAGUCAUCAAUUCUCCCUCCUAGCUGACCCUGAACUGCUCACGCUGCAGGCAGGCCAGGCAGC
rnacentral:lncRNA from 1 species